rnacentral:rRNA from 1 species
UACGUAGGGGGCAAGCGUUGUUCGGAAUUACUGGGCGUAAAGGGCGCGUAGGCGGCAGGCCAAGUCGGGAGUGAAAGCCCGGGGCUCAACCCCGGGAAUGUCUUUCGAAACUGGCCAGCUGGAGUGCGGAAGAGGCAACUGGAAUUCUCAGUGUAGCGGUGAAAUACGUAGAUAUUGGGAAGAACACCUGAGGCGAAGGCGGGUUGCUGGGCCGGUACUGACGCUGAGACGGCAAAAGCGUGGGGAGCGAACAGG